rnacentral:rRNA from 1 species
AGAGGGGGCAAGCGUUAUUCGGAAUUAUUGGGCGUAAAGGGCGCGUAGGCGGCUUAGCAAGUGACGGGUGAAAUCCCUCGGCUUAACCGAGGAACUGCCUGUCAAACUGCAUGGCUUGAGACCAGGAGAGGUGAGUGGAAUUCCCAGUGUAGCGGUGAAAUGCGUAGAUAUUGGGAGGAACACCAGUGGCGAAGGCGGCUCACUGGACUGGUACUGACGCUGAGGCGCGAAAGCGUGGGGAGCAAACAGGAUUAGAUACCCUGGUAGUCCACGCCGUAAACGAUGAGUGCUUGGUGUAGCGGGUAUCGACCCCUGCUGUGCCGAAGUCAACACAUUAAGCACUCCGCCUGGGGAGUACGGUCGCAAGGCUG